GAAAGGUGAGAGGUAGGGCUCGGUCUCAAGGUUUAAAGUCACUAGUCAGUCCAACUGCACGAGUGAAAGGCGAAAGUAAAGAUUACGUGCAACCAGGUGUAACGUGUCAAAGGUCACCGAGUCGUCGUAAAGGGGAAUAGGUUGUUUUGCGCAUCCAACAACUGAAAGAGUUUGCGGAGAAGGGUUGAGUUGCGUAAUAGCAGAUUCGUAGGUCAAUAAAUCGUUGGAUUCGAAAUCGAACUCUCUACCUUGGGCGGAUAGGAAUUGAGACUUUCAAUGGUCCGCUCUUCUCUCCUCGUGAUCGAAGCUGACCCCAGAAGUUUUUUAUUCCUUCUUAAGAGGACACCUCCCGAUCUUACUGUUCCAGGUCUUUCUGGUCUUUCGGUUGACGAUUGCUUUAUUCUAUGCGUAGAUUGGUUGGACUCUGCUUUGACCCAGUCGUGAGACGAGCCGCAGGAAAGAACUAGGUGUCAACGGAAAGUCCGUCCUUGAAAGUUGGCAGAUCGGCAUGGGCGGUAUGGUUAAACUAUUAGCUCCUCUGCUCUCUCUUUCCCUGGCUUCUACUUUCACAUACCUUCUUACCGCCCCGUGGGUCGUUUACUUUGCCCCUUCCGCUCCUCCAUCUAACAAGAAAUUUAGUGGGCUCCUAAACGAAGCUAUUGGGACAGUGGCUUUGAUAGCGCUUUGUCAAUAAGAGAUAUCAUAUCGUGGUAGAACCCCUAUCCGUGCUUUUCCAACUCCCUCUAUGGUGUCAUCUACUGGCUGACUGCACACUGACUUCUGCCUGACUAUGGCUUUUAGAAAGCAAGAUCCCUCCGUUUAUCACUAUAUAGAAAGAACAUCCCAUACACAUACAGAGUAUUUAAACUAAGCUAUUCGAGCCUUCACCUAAGCUCUCAUCGAUAGAGCCAAUUUUGCUUUGAUUCUUGUAUACAAGUCUGGUAGUCAAUUGUUCUAGCAAGGAUGGACUAGUUGCCUACUCUCGCCUCACCCGCCCGGUUGACUUAUGGCAUCAUCGACUUGCUUUUCAAUCUAAGCGAUUUCAUAACCAGAAAGAAAGACCUCUCUUUCGGGAUCAGCCCCGUCCCUAGAUGUAGUAGGCNNN
rnacentral:lncRNA from 1 species